UCUGAGGUGAAGGACUCACCUCGCAGCGUCCCAGCACAGAACAACAUCGCGACCGCUUGAGACAACAGUCCAGGACCUUACUGGUGUCAUCAACCCCGGAUCAACUGCAGCCACAAUGUUUAAGUGAAGUGCUUAUGUGUCUUAUGGGGUUAAAAUGGUAACAUCUUGCAGAUAUGGACUGGGACUAACUUGUCAUAGCCACGAUAGAAAGUAAAUGAAUUGAGUGUGUUUUGUUGACAUACCGAGGGAUGUUUCUGGUAGAUAGUCGGACGUGCAUUUUGUAAAUGGAGGCUCCUUUUGCAGUCAAGGCUUCAGUCCGUUUCCGUGGUGUACAUGCCUGGUGUGUGGCUGAUUUUGGUUUCUGUUGGUUUCUGUGGCUGUGCUGCCGGGAGUGUAUUUGGUCAGUUAUUGUACGUAAAUUCUGUUGUUUACAAAACAGGGUCUUCCCUGGUUCACCAUCUGUUGUAAUUUCUGUUUUAUGUCAUGGUCAGUGGUUGUCGGGAACCUAGACCAUUACAUAAUCUGCUUUGUGUUGCUCUCUUGGGUCCCGAACCAAGAGAACAACACAGGCCAGAAAGGACGACAGUUGGUUGAAGAACCUAUUUGAUAUAAGUA